rnacentral:snRNA from 1 species
CUGACGCUUAAUGACGAAAUCGAU